rnacentral:rRNA from 1 species
AAUGAACGUUGGCGGCAUGGAUUAGGCAUGCAAGUCGCACGAGAACCCAAUUAGCUUGCUAUGAGGGGGACAGUGGCGUAAGGGAGAGUAACGCGUGGUUAUGUACCUUCGAGACCGGGAUAGUGUCGGGAAACUGGCAGUAAUACCGGAUAACAUCUUCGGAUCAAAUGGUGUGAUUCCGCUCGAAGAUCGGACCGCGUACUAUUAGCUUGUUGGCGGGGUAAUGGCCCACCAAGGCUGCGAUGGUUACCGGGUGUGAGAGCAUGGCCCGGCUCACUGGGACUGAGACACUGCCCAGACAUCUACGGAUGGCUGCAGUCGAGAAUCUUCGGCAAUGGGCGAAAGCCUGACCGAGCGAUGCCGCGUGCGGGAUGAAGGCCCUCGGGUUGUAAACCGCUGUCAGUUGUUAGGAAAUGCUAUAGGGUUCUCUCUAUAGUUUGACCG